rnacentral:rRNA from 1 species
CCCAGACUCCUACGGGAGGCAGCAGUGGGGAAUAUUGGGCAAUGGGCGCAAGCCUGACCCAGCAACGCCGCGUGAAGGAAGAAGGCUUUCGGGUUGUAAACUUCUUUUGUCAGGGACGAAGCAAGUGACGGUACCUGACGAAUAAGCCACGGCUAACUACGUGCCAGCAGCCGCGGUAAUACGUAGGUGGCAAGCGUUAUCCGGAUUUACUGGGUGUAAAGGGCGUGUAGGCGGGACUGCAAGUCAGAUGUGAAAACCACGGGCUCAACCUGUGGCCUGCAUUUGAAACUGUAGUUCUUGAGUACGGGAGAGGCAGACGGAAUUCCUAGUGUAGCGGUGAAAUGCGUAGAUAUCGGGAGGAACACCAGUGGCGAAGGCGGUUUACUGGACCACAACUGACGCUGAGACACGAAAGCGUGGGGAGCAAACAGGAUUAGAUACCCCUGUA